rnacentral:rRNA from 1 species
CGCGGCCUAUCAGCUUGUUGGUGGGGUAAUGGCCUACCAAGGCGACGACGGGUAGCCGGCCUGAGAGGGCGACCGGCCACACUGGGACUGAGACACGGCCCAGACUCCUACGGGAGGCAGCAGUGGGGAAUAUUGCACAAUGGGCGAAAGCCUGAUGCAGCGACGCCGCGUGAGGGAUGACGGCCUUCGGGUUGUAAACCUCUUUCAGCAGGGACGAAGCGCAAGUGACUGUACCUGCAGAAGAAGCACCGGCUAACUACGUGCCAGCAGCCGCGGUAAUACGUAGGGUGCGAGCGUUGUCCGGAAUUACUGGGCGUAAAGAGUUCGUAGGCGGUUUGUCGCGUCGUGUGUGAAAUCCCGCAGCUCAACUGCGGGCUUGCAGGCGAUACGGGCAGACUUGAGUACUGCAGGGGAGACUGGAAUUCCUGGUGUAGCGGUGAAAUGCGCAGAUAUCAGGAGGAACACCGGUGGCGAAGGCGGGUCUCUGGGCAGUAACUGACGCUGAGGAACGAAAGCGUGGGUAGCGAACAGGAUUAGAUACCCUGGUAGUCCACGCCGUAAACGGUGGGCGCUAGGUGUGGGUUUCCUUCCACGGGAUCCGUGCCGUAGCUAACGCAUUAAGCGCCCCGCCUGGGGAGUACGG